rnacentral:rRNA from 1 species
ACUCAAAGGAAUAGACGGGGACCCGCACAAGCGGUGGAUGAUGUGGAUUAAUUCGAUGCAACGCGAAAAACCUUACCUACCCUUGACAUGGACCAAAGCCUGUAGAGAUAUGGGUGUGCUCGCAAGAGAAUGGUUACACAGGUGCUGCAUGGCUGUCGUCAGCUCGUGUCGUGAGAUGUUGGGUUAAGUCCCGCAACGAGCGCAACCCUUGUCGGUAAUUGCCAUCAUUAAGUUGGGCACUUUACUGAGACUGCCGGUGACAAACCGGAGGAAGGUGGGGAUGACGUCAAGUCCUCAUGGCCCUUAUGGGUAGGGCUUCACACGUCAUACAAUGGUGCAUACAGAGGGUUGCGAAGUCGCGAGGCGGAGCUAAUCUCAGAAAGUGCAUCGUAGUCCGGAUUGGAGUCUGCAACUCGACUCCAUGAAGUUGGAAUCGCUAGUAAUCGCGGAUCAGCAUGUCGCGGUGAAUACGUUCUCGGGUCUUGCACACACCGCCCGU